rnacentral:rRNA from 1 species
AACGAACGCUGGCGGCAUGCCUAACACAUGCAAGUCGAACGCUCGUCUUCGGACGGGAGUGGCGCACGGGUGAGUAACGCGUGGGAACCUGCCCCGAGGUGGGGGAUAACCCGGCGAAAGCCGGGCUAAUACCGCAUACGUCCUGAGGGAGAAAGAUUGAUCGCCUUGGGAGGGGCCCGCGUCGGAUUAGGUAGUUGGUGGGGUAACGCCUACCAAGCCGGUGAUCCGUAGCUGGUCUGAGAGGAUGGCCAGCCACACUGGGACUGAGACACGGCCCAGACUCCUACGGGAGGCAGCAGUGGGGAAUAUUGGACAAUGGGCGCAAGCCUGAUCCAGCAAUGCCGCGUGAGUGAUGAAGGCCUUAGGGUUGUAAAGCUCUUUCGCCCGCGACGAUGAUGACGGUAGCGGGAGAAGAAGCCCCGGCUAACUUCGUGCCAGCCGCCGCCGUAAC